rnacentral:rRNA from 1 species
GAUGAACGCUGGCGGCGUGCCUAAUACAUGCCAGUCGAGCGAACAGACGAGGAGCUUGCUCCUCUUACGUUAGCGGCGGACGGGUGAGUAACACGUGGAUAACCUACCUAUAAGACUGGGAUAACUUCGUGAAACCGGAGCUAAUACCGGAUAAUAUAUUGAACCGCAUGGUUCAAUAGUGAAAGACGGUUUUGCUGUCACUUAUAGAUGGAUCCGCGCCGCAUUAGCUAGUUGGUAAGGUAACGGCUUACCAAGGCAACGAUGCGUAGCCGACCUGAGAGGGUGAUCGGCCACACUGGAACUGAGACACGGUCCAGACUCCUACGGGAGGCAGCAGUAGGGAAUCUUCCGCAAUGGGCGAAAGCCUGACGGAGCAACGCCGCGUGAGUGAUGAAGGUCUUCGGAUCGUAAAACUCUGUUAUUAGGGAAGAACAAAUGUGUAAGUAACUAUGCACGUCUUGACGGUACCUAAUCAGAAAGCCACGGCUAACUACGUG